GCCGUUUCUGUCAAUGAUGCAGAUAGAAUGUAGUAGUAUGAGAUCAUGCUGAUUAUCACAAAUUCUCUUUCGUCACUACCUCUGAGACAGAAAUGGA